GGGAAAGGGAGCGCUGCAGAGAUCCGGCCGGGAAAGUGAGUAGGUUUUGGUUGGAAGCCUCCUCUUCCUUUUCUUCUUCCUCAUAAUUUAUUCUUCUUCUCUCAAUGUUGUUAUCCUUUUCUUCUUCCAAUCUUUGAAAAGCUGGUUGGUGUUCCCCGUCAUCCUGAUGCUCUUCAUUUCUGCUCCUCUCUCUACUAUAUAUAGGAUGGAUCCCACACUUAAUUAUCUCCCUGCCAUAGUAGGGGAGAAAUGAGGCCUCAACAAAACACUUUUCAUCAACAGAUUCGAAUUUUUUAUUAUCGAGCCAAAGCGACAUGUGUUCUGAUGAAAAGCAAAUUCGAUGGUAUAAUUCUAUGUUUGUUAAAAAAUAGCCAUGCGAGAAAUCAUAGCGAUGCCUAUGUCCAGAUUCGUCUAUGAAAUCCACUCUACAUGUAAAAGAUUGAUGAACAUAACUUUGGAUAGGAAAAAUAGCGCAGAAAGAGAAGGCAAUUAAGUGACGA
rnacentral:misc_RNA from 1 species